GGUACCUAAAGCCAACAAUAAUAUAACAACACACAAAAGGUUAGUCCAGAUAUUGUCCAUACUAAUAAAUCAAUUAAAAAAUCAUCAUCUUUACAUUAAAAAGUUUUAAUGCACAGGACUGUAAGGACUGCCCAAUUUAGUGUGGCAUUAUUUCAAAGGUCUUAAUUCUCAACUUGAGUCACGUCCAUGAGAUCUAAAUAAAAAGUGCAAACUAAAUAACAAUAUCUGAAUCAAAAAUAAAAGUAAUAAUAGUAAUAUUACGCAUAGGUUCAUCUCUUGAAGAACUGUGCAAGCAUAAAAUAAAAAUAUCUUACCACUACCAUCACGGAA
rnacentral:misc_RNA from 1 species